rnacentral:rRNA from 1 species
UACAGAGGGUGCGAGCGUUAAUCGGAAUUACUGGGCGUAAAGCGUGCGUAGACGGUUAUUUAAGUCAGGUGUGAAAGCCCCGGGCUCAACCUGGGAAUUGCAUUUGAGACUGAAUAGCUAGGGUGCGGAAGAGGGAAGCGGAAUUCCCAGUGUAGCGGUGAAAUGCGUAGAUAUUGGGAGGAACACCAGUGGCGAAGGCGGCUCACUGGACC